AUAUUAGCUCAGUUGGUAGAGCACUAGACUUUUAAUCUAGGUGUCCGGGGUUCGAACCCCC
rnacentral:tRNA from 1 species